UUUGAGUGUGUGGAGGUAGGGGAGAUUAAGUGGAAAAGGGAGCUUUCAGUGAAGAUCAGUGGAUGUGGUCAUGUGGAAUUUCAGACAGAAGAAUGUAUGCAUUCAAAGAAAUGGAAACGGCCCCAUGGGCCAUGCAGCAGAGGAGCCAGCGGUCCAGAUGAGCAGGAGGAACACUGGAGAAAAAGCCUGGAGAGGGAGGCAGGCCCACACCUUGAGGACUUCAAAUGCAGGGGAGGUUGAAUGACGUGAAUUAGCACAGAGAAGGGAUGGGCAGUCUGGAACAGGGAGGCCUGGGCUGGGGUAGAUCUAUGAGAACAAGGAUGAAGAAGAUAAGGAAAGAAGGAACUAGGAGGACUCUGCCCUUCUAACUGUGGGACCUGGAGACUGGGGAUGUGACUAACGUUGUUCAAUAGCCCCGAGGAGGAGCAGGCUGGAGAGGAGAAACUGACGGAGCCCUGCUGGGAAACUGCUAAGUGUGGGUGUGCAUGGGGACAUCAGGCCAGUCAGUGGCCAGGAGGAAAACAGACCCCAGGAGCCAAAUCUCUGCAGGGAGGCCAGGGCUAACUGCACAUCUGCUCAGUAAUUUCAUCCUCAAAUUUUAGAUUUUAAAUGAGC
rnacentral:lncRNA from 1 species